ensembl:snRNA U6 U6 spliceosomal RNA
UUGCUUGUAUUUCAGUUUAUUUUAUUAUUAUCGAUACAGAGAAGAUUAGCAUGGCCCCUUCGAAAGGAUGACACGCAAAUCAGUGAAGGGCGCUUCGUUUUU